AUUGAACGCUGGCGGCAGGCCUAACACAUGCAAGUCGAGCGAGCGGCGGACGGGUGAGUAAUGUAUGGGGACUGCCCGAUCGAGCGGGAUAACUACUGGAAACGGUAGCUACUACCGCAUACUAUCUUAUAACCCAUAUGGGUUUAGCUAGUAGGUGUGGUAAUGGCUCACCUAGGUGAAGAUCCCCAGCGGGUCUGAGAGGAUGAGCAGCCACUCUGGGACUGAGACACGGCCCAGACUCCUACGGAGGCAGCAGUGGGGAAUGUUGGACAAGGGGCGCAAGCCUGAUGCAGCCAUGCCGCGUGUAUGAAGAAGGCCCUAGGGUUGUAAAGUACUUUCAGUAGGGAGGCGUUACCGACAGAAGAAGCACCGGCUAACUCCGUGCCAGCAGCCGCGGUAAUAC
rnacentral:rRNA from 1 species